rnacentral:rRNA from 1 species
GGGAUAGCUUGGUUUGGAUCACGAUGAAGGACGUGGCAAGCUGCGAUAAGCCUAGGUGAGCCGCAUGCAGGCAUUGAACCUAGGAUCUCCGAAUGCGACAACGUACGCAGAAAUGCGGAUGCCGAGAGGCAAGACGACGCCGGGAAUUGAAACAUCUUAGUACCGGCAGGAAAAGAAAACAUAACGUGAUUCCCUUACUAGCAGCGAGCGAAAAGGGAACAGGGCAAACUGAAUCUCCUUUUGAAAAGAAGGCAGAGAUGUGGUGGAUGCUAAAGCUAAGUUACCGAAUCGAAGUCCACUGGAAUGUGGCACACUAUAGGGUGAUAGUCCCGUAGAUAAAGGUAAUAUGCUGUGCUCCGAACGAGUAGGGCUCCCUAGAUUGGAAGUCCGAAGACGGCAGGAUUAACUGCCAACCCUAAACAUUGAUCCAAGUCCGAUAGCAAACAAGUACCGCGAGGGAAAGCUGAAAAGUACUCUUAACCGAGGGUUAAAAGACUUGAAAUCUCAGAGUUACAAAUGGUUACGGCAUUACGGUGUCGUAACGUGCGUGUUGAAAAAUGAGCCAAGGAGUUAACUUGUGUGGCAAGGUUAAAGAAAUGAAGCCGUAGCGAAAGCGAGUCUGAAAAGGCGUUAAGUCACACGGGUUAGACACGAUGCCAGAUGAUCUAUUCGUGCGCAGGGCGAAGUUCUUCGAAAGGAGAAUGGAGGCCCGAACUAGUGUUGUGCACAUGCACUUGGAUGACGUGCGAAUAGGGGUGAAAAGCCUAUCGAAUCUGGCGGUGGCUUGUUCCUGUCGAAUUAUGCCUCAGUAUAGCUUCGGUAUGCUAGUCGGCGAGGUAAAGUACGGAUAGAGUCUGCAGACCCGUAUGGGUACGGGACUCUUUUCCAACUCUGAACAUGUCGACGGUAGAUACCGGAAGUGGGGGGCGGUGCGUAAGGUACCGUUCCGAGACCCGAACAAGGGAGACUGAAGUUAAGGUCCCAAAAUGUAUGCUCAGUGUAGCAAAGGUUGUCUUGAACCUGAGACACUAAGGAUGUAGGCUUAGAAGCAGCCAUCAUUUAAAGAAAGCGUAACAGCUCACUUAUUGAGGUUCGAGGCGCCGAAGAUGGACGGGGCUUAAGCAUACUACCGAUACUUCAGAGGUAUUCGUAAGAAUACUCUGGUAGACAGGCGUACAUGUUGCGUAGAAGUCCUUUCGAGAGAAAAGAUGGAGCGGCAUGUAAUGAGAAUCUUGGCGGAAGUAAGAUCUAAUUAUUCUGAGAACGAAUAGCGUCGCAAGAGCAAGGUUUCCUUGGCACUAACGUUUAACCAAGGGUUAGUCAGCUCCUAAGUCAUCUCUUAACUGCGGAUGGCGAUGGAAAUCCGGUUAAUAUUCCGGAACUGGAAUACGUUCGUCGAGUGCACGAAUUAACUUCGGGAUAAGCAGCAUCUCGAGAGGGAUGUGAUGUGAGAAUAUAGAGGAGCGUAAUGCUACGAGCCUAUAGAAUCAUAUCGUGAAAACUGCUGAAUCCUAGAGUCCAUGAAACGUUUGUGUAUAGAGCGUAUACUAGCUGUACCGAGAACCGACACAGGUGCUCUGGUUGAAAAGACUAAGACGUGUAAGGUAUAAACUGGUUAAGGGAAUUCGGCAUAUUUGGUCCCGUAGCUUCGGUAGAAGGGAUGUCUAUAACUGUCUUUGAUAUGUAGAAGGCAGUGGUAGAUUGCAAUAACAAGGACCGCCCGACUGUUUAUCAAAAACGUAGCCGAUUGCAAAUCCGAAAGGACUCGUAUAAUCGGUGAGACCUGCCCAGUGGUGGUGUUUCAAACCCUCGUUCAAGAGGGCUAAGACCCAUCAAACGGCGGGCCUAACUAUGAGGCUCUUAAGGUUGAAUAGUCAACUAAACUGCCUUACGAUUUUCUCGUCGAAAAACGAGAUAGUCGCUUCAAGUUUCAUAGGUUAAGAUAAACAAUACAUAACAUGUAAGAACCAAAAGAAGAAAAUUUAGCUGUAUGCUGGAACGUCUCGAAGAAACUUUCUAGUAAAUUAUUUUCGCGAGAGAAUAAUUAUCUAAAAAUGAAAGUGGAGAGAUAAUCAGCAGGAAAGAUUUCUUAAUUAUAUAAGAAAAAUCCUCAGAGACUGAACGCUAGAAUUACAAAAUAAAAUUUGUAGUAAGUUACAGUCCGAUCCUUAUAGCGAUAUAAGGUGUCAGAUACUGACAGUAAAACUCAAAUGAGCGUAAUGCCUUGUCAUCUGAAUGGUGACGUGCAUGAAUGGUUCAACGAGGUGGUCACUGUCCCUAACCAGAACCUUCUGAACUCACUGACCGGUGAAAAUGCCGGUAACGCCUAGUGGGAAGCGGAGACCUUGUAAACCUUUACUGCAACUUGUUGUUGUAGCUUUAAGAGACAUGCAUAGCGUAGGUAGGAGAUUCGUCGCCAAUGUAACACUACCCAUGCCUCUUGAAGUUGCUCACCCGGGAGGGGACACCAGCAGGCGGGCAGUUUGGCUGGGGCGGCACCCUGCUGAAAAGAUAUCAGUAGGGCCUAAUGGUAAGCUCAUCCAGGUUGGAAAUCUGGAGAUGAGUGCGAAGGCAAAAGCUUACCUGACUGUAUUUCGAACAGCAAGAAAUGCAGAGACGAAAGUCGGGCUUAGCGACCCCACGUAGCUUUUUAAUAGGGCUCGUGUGUGGCAGAAAAGGUACUUCAAGGAUAACAGGCUUGUCGCGCCCGAUAGUUCAUAUUGACGGCGCGGUUUGGUACAUCGCUGUCGGCUCUUCCUAUCCUGGUUGUGCAUAAGCAACCAAGGGUGUCGGAGUUCACGCAUUAAAAGGGAUCGUUAGCUGGGUUAAGAACGUAAAUUAGCGCUAACGAAUCUUGUUCCAAAUCGCAACUAUCAAAAAACGCGGCGUUGUAUGCAAGUAAUUGCAUAAAAAAUAUAAUCAGCUCAUAUCGGAGAAACCUAUCUUAAGAUUGGUAACCCCGAGGGAAGGUCACUAGAAGUAGUGUACCCCUGUAGAGACUUAGAUUUUUUCCAAAAGGAAUAGGAACCGUCAGUUCCGAUAAGAUCUAGAAUCAUUCAUAGAGUGUGAUGACUCUGGAAAGAAAUUUCUUAGAAUGAUUAAAACGCUGAUACCCUACUUUAUAGAAAUAUAAUGAGGGAUAUGGUAUAGUCCAUACAAUGCAAAAACAUAAGCAUUGAGUAAUAUACGCGAGACAGUUUGUAUGAUAUCUACUAGGCGCGCAGUUGUCUGAGUGGAACGAGUAUCUAGUACGAGAGGAACGGUACUCGGGUGCCUCUGGUGUAUCGGUUGUUAUGAGCAGGCCGAGCAGCUACGCACUGUGGGAUAAGUACUGAAAGCAUCUAAGUACGAAGCCCUUCGCAAGACGAGACAACAAAGGCCGUCAAAGAAGAUGACGUUGAUAGAGUUGAUGUGUAAACCCCGAGA